rnacentral:tRNA from 1 species
ACGGGCAUAGUUUAAAGGUUAGAACUAAGGUCUCCAAAACCUUCAGUGUGGGUUCAAUUCCUACUGCCCGUG